CAGGGCCUACUAAAUGCAGUGAAUGUUGUCUUUCCUAAGUGCAACCAAAGGUUCUGCCUUAGGCAUAUCUAUGCAAACUUCCAAAAUGCUAGGUUUAGGGGGGGAGAUCUGAAAAAGUGUAUGGAUAAUGCUGCCUAUGCAUAUAGUGAACACAAAUUUAACAUUGCAAUGAAUGACCUUAGAGCUGAGUGUGAGCAAGCUUGGGAGUGGCUUUGUCAAAUACCCAAGAAAACAUGGGCAAGGCAUGCAUUUGACACAAACUGCAAGACUGACCUUGUAGUUAACAAUUUAUCUGAGGUGUUCAACAAGUAUGUCCUAGAUGUUAGGAAGAAACCAAUUAGGACAAUGUGUGAUGGAAUAAAGGAUAAGCAGAUGGUGAGGUGGCAUAGGAAUAGGGAGAGUGGAAAGAAAGCUAGAUGGGACAUAACACCCCAUUAUAGUGAGAAGCUAGAGGUUGAGAAGGAGAGGGCCAAAUAUUGCAAACCAAUUCAAGCUGGUGUGGACUUGUGGCAAGUUACAAGUGGGCAGCAAACCCAUGCUGUUAACUUGCAAAUGCACGCAUGUGGGUGCAGAAAAUGGGACCUAAGUGGCAUCCCAUGUAACCAUGCCAUCUCAACAAUAAACAAGGCCAAAAGAAAACCAGAGGAUUAUGUCAGCAAGUUCUUCAAGAAAGAAAUUUAUCUGGCAGCUUAUGAACCAAUGAUCUAUCCAGUUCCUGGUGAGCAUGACUGGACAAGGACACCUGGUCCAGACAUUGACCCACCUGCAUUUAAAGUGAAGAGAGGAAGAAAGAAAGAGAAGAGGAUCAAGGGGAAAUUUGAAGUCCCAAAGCCUAAGGAGACAUCAAGAAUGGGGACUAUAACAUGUGGCAAUUGUGGACUGCAAGGACAUAGGUACACAAGCUGCAACAAGCAGUUGAAGCCUGAGCUGGCUUUGAGGAAGAACAAACAUGUG
rnacentral:rRNA from 1 species